rnacentral:lncRNA from 1 species
CUGAUUCAGGCACCAGAGAUGCCCUUUCCGCAUUCCCUGGAAGUUACAGUCUGGGGUUCCCUGCUCCUGUUCCCUGCUCUUCUUCACCUGAGGCCACGGAGUGGGGGCAGCUCCUCAUGGGAGGAAGAUGGCCUUCUCCUCACGAGGCAUUGGUUCGGGUGAUUAAUGCUGCUGUUGGGUCUUCGCUGCUGUCCUGUGACUAAGCCGAUCCCAAGUGCCUCCGGCAAAGACCAGUCCUUCAUCUCCGAAGAGCGUCUGUUAACCUCUCUCGAUGGAUACCAAGUUGGGAUUUUUACAACGUGCUGGCUGGAAGUCCAAGUAAGAAAAGGCAGCAAAGUUAUGAAACUUGAGUUUGUCCUUGCAGAUCCGCAGUGAGCAACGCAUACUUACCACCAAGACCCGUGGCAUGCUGUGGUCAUUCCCGAGAGAACUGCACUGAGCUGUUAGGGAGGGUCUGAGGGUUUAUAAUGGUUUAAAAAUGCUUACAAUUUUUUUUUUUUUUUUUUGGUAGACUUUAAGCACAGCCAUGAAUCUCAGAGCAACAUGUCCAAGACUCAAGUACAGGCAAUAUAGCCAGCCUGCCCGUGAGGCACUGAGGGAGAUGAAGAAGGUUGGAGGUCUGGAAAAUGGUGGAAUGCCUUGGACUGGAGACCAUAUACAGAUGGACACACAAGCAUCCACACAGCCUGGGCUACAGCUCAGCAGAGGCCCGCUCCCUUUCCUUCCAGCCUCGGCCGAGCACUCAUCUCCUCUGCUCACUCUAGGAGGGUCCUUAUUUAACACAGUCUUACUUUAUGGACAAGUAAGACUGAAAACCUGUCACAAAUUGUGCUAGAGGUAUAAAAAUUCCACUUUCUCAUGUCAUAUAUACAUGAUAUAUAAAUGUAAGCUUCAUAUAUAAUAUGAGAAAAUAAACUUUGUAUAAUUAAAAAGUUAGAGGCUCUG